rnacentral:rRNA from 1 species
GGUUAAGCGACUAAGCGUACACGGUGGAUGCCCUGGCAGUCAGAGGCGAUGAAGGACGUGCUAAUCUGCGAUAAGCGUCGGUAAGGUGAUAUGAACCGUUAUAACCGGCGAUUUCCGAAUGGGGAAACCCAGUGUGAUUCGUCACACUAUCAUUAACUGAAUCCAUAGGUUAAUGAGGCGAACCGGGGGAACUGAAACAUCUAAGUACCCCGAGGAAAAGAAAUCAACCGAGAUUCCCCCAGUAGCGGCGAGCGAACGGGGAGCAGCCCAGAGCCUGAAUCAGUGUGUGUGUUAGUGGAAGCGUCUGGAAAGGCGUGCGAUACAGGGUGACAGCCCCGUACACAAAAAUGCACAUACUGUGAGCUCGAUGAGUAGGGCGGGACACGUGGUAUCCUGUCUGAAUAUGGGGGGACCAUCCUCCAAGGCUAAAUACUCCUGACUGACCGAUAGUGAACCAGUACCGUGAGGGAAAGGCGAAAAGAACCCCGGCGAGGGGAGUGAAAAAGAACCUGAAACCGUGUACGUACAAGCAGUGGGAGCACGCUUAGGCGUGUGACUGCGUACCUUUUGUAUAAUGGGUCAGCGACUUAUAUUCUGUAGCAAGGUUAACCGAAUAGGGGAGCCGAAGGGAAACCGAGUCUUAACUGGGCGUUAAGUUGCAGGGUAUAGACCCGAAACCCGGUGAUCUAGCCAUGGGCAGGUUGAAGGUUGGGUAACACUAACUGGAGGACCGAACCGACUAAUGUUGAAAAAUUAGCGGAUGACUUGUGGCUGGGGGUGAAAGGCCAAUCAAACCGGGAGAUAGCUGGUUCUCCCCGAAAGCUAUUUAGGUAGCGCCUCGUGAAUUCAUCUCCGGGGGUAGAGCACUGUUUCGGCAAGGGGGUCAUCCCGACUUACCAACCCGAUGCAAACUGCGAAUACCGGAGAAUGUUAUCACGGGAGACACACGGCGGGUGCUAACGUCCGUCGUGAAGAGGGAAACAACCCAGACCGCCAGCUAAGGUCCCAAAGUCAUGGUUAAGUGGGAAACGAUGUGGGAAGGCCCAGACAGCCAGGAUGUUGGCUUAGAAGCAGCCAUCAUUUAAAGAAAGCGUAAUAGCUCACUGGUCGAGUCGGCCUGCGCGGAAGAUGUAACGGGGCUAAACCAUGCACCGAAGCUGCGGCAGCGACGCUUAUGCGUUGUUGGGUAGGGGAGCGUUCUGUAAGCCUGUGAAGGUGUACUGUGAGGUAUGCUGGAGGUAUCAGAAGUGCGAAUGCUGACAUAAGUAACGAUAAAGCGGGUGAAAAGCCCGCUCGCCGGAAGACCAAGGGUUCCUGUCCAACGUUAAUCGGGGCAGGGUGAGUCGACCCCUAAGGCGAGGCCGAAAGGCGUAGUCGAUGGGAAACAGGUUAAUAUUCCUGUACUUGGUGUUACUGCGAAGGGGGGACGGAGAAGGCUAUGUUGGCCGGGCGACGGUUGUCCCGGUUUAAGCGUGUAGGCUGGUUUUCCAGGCAAAUCCGGAAAAUCAAGGCCGAGGCGUGAUGACGAGGCACUACGGUGCUGAAGCAACAAAUGCCCUGCUUCCAGGAAAAGCCUCUAAGCAUCAGGUAACAUCAAAUCGUACCCCAAACCGACACAGGUGGUCAGGUAGAGAAUACCAAGGCGCUUGAGAGAACUCGGGUGAAGGAACUAGGCAAAAUGGUGCCGUAACUUCGGGAGAAGGCACGCUGAUACGUAGGUGAAGCGACUUGCUCGUGGAGCUGAAAUCAGUCGAAGAUACCAGCUGGCUGCAACUGUUUAUUAAAAACACAGCACUGUGCAAACACGAAAGUGGACGUAUACGGUGUGACGCCUGCCCGGUGCCGGAAGGUUAAUUGAUGGGGUUAGCGCAAGCGAAGCUCUUGAUCGAAGCCCCGGUAAACGGCGGCCGUAACUAUAACGGUCCUAAGGUAGCGAAAUUCCUUGUCGGGUAAGUUCCGACCUGCACGAAUGGCGUAAUGAUGGCCAGGCUGUCUCCACCCGAGACUCAGUGAAAUUGAACUCGCUGUGAAGAUGCAGUGUACCCGCGGCAAGACGGAAAGACCCCGUGAACCUUUACUAUAGCUUGACACUGAACAUUGAGCCUUGAUGUGUAGGAUAGGUGGGAGGCUUUGAAGUGUGGACGCCAGUCUGCAUGGAGCCGACCUUGAAAUACCACCCUUUAAUGUUUGAUGUUCUAACGUGGACCCGUAAUCCGGGUUGCGGACAGUGUCUGGUGGGUAGUUUGACUGGGGCGGUCUCCUCCUAAAGAGUAACGGAGGAGCACGAAGGUUGGCUAAUCCUGGUCGGACAUCAGGAGGUUAGUGCAAUGGCAUAAGCCAGCUUGACUGCGAGCGUGACGGCGCGAGCAGGUGCGAAAGCAGGUCAUAGUGAUCCGGUGGUUCUGAAUGGAAGGGCCAUCGCUCAACGGAUAAAAGGUACUCCGGGGAUAACAGGCUGAUACCGCCCAAGAGUUCAUAUCGACGGCGGUGUUUGGCACCUCGAUGUCGGCUCAUCACAUCCUGGGGCUGAAGUAGGUCCCAAGGGUAUGGCUGUUCGCCAUUUAAAGUGGUACGCGAGCUGGGUUUAGAACGUCGUGAGACAGUUCGGUCCCUAUCUGCCGUGGGCGCUGGAGAACUGAGGGGGGCUGCUCCUAGUACGAGAGGACCGGAGUGGACGCAUCACUGGUGUUCGGGUUGUCAUGCCAAUGGCACUGCCCGGUAGCUAAAUGCGGAAGAGAUAAGUGCUGAAAGCAUCUAAGCACGAAACUUGCCCCGAGAUGAGUUCUCCCUGACCCUUUAAGGGUCCUGAAGGAACGUUGAAGACGACGA